rnacentral:rRNA from 1 species
AGAGCGAACGCUGGCGGCAGGCCUAACACAUGCAAGUCGAGCGCCCGUAGCAAUACGGGAGCGGCAGACGGGAUAGUAACACGUGGGAACGCGCCCUUCGGUUCGGAAUAACUCAGGGAAACUUGAGCUAAUACCGAAUACGCCCUUACGGGGAAAGAUUUAUUGCCGAAGGAACGGCCCGCGUCCGAUUAGCUAGUUGGUGAGGUAAUGGCUCACCAAGGCUACGAUCGGUAGCUGGUCUGAGAGGAUGACCAGCAUCACUGGGACUGAGACACGGCCCAGACUCCUACGGGAGGCAGCAGUGGGGAAUAUUGGACAAUGGGCGCAAGCCUGAUCCAGCCAUGCCGCGUGGAUGAUGAGGCCUUAGGGUUGUAAAGUCCGUUUAACGGGAAGAUAAUGACGGUACCGUAGAAUAAGCCCCGGCUAACUUCGCGCCAGCACGCCGC